UGCGGAGGGAUCAUUACCGAGUUUACAACUCCCAAACCCAAUGUGAACGUUACCAAACUGUUGCCUCGGCGGGAUCUCUGCCCCGGGUGCGUCGCAGCCCCGGACCAAGGCGCCCGCCGGAGGACCAACCAAAACUCUUAUUGUAUACCCCCUCGCGGGUUUUUUUUAUAAUCUGAGCCUUCUCGGCGCCUCUCGUAGGCGUUUCGAAAAUGAAUCAAAACUUUCAACAACGGAUCUCUUGGUUCUGGCAUCGAUGAAGAACGCAGCGAAAUGCGAUAAGUAAUGUGAAUUGCAGAAUUCAGUGAAUCAUCGAAUCUUUGAACGCACAUUGCGCCCGCCAGUAUUCUGGCGGGCAUGCCUGUCCGAGCGUCAUUUCAACCCUCGAACCCCUCCGGGGGGUCGGCGUUGGGGAUCGGCCCUGCCUUGGCGGUGGCCGUCUCCGAAAUACAGUGGCGGUCUCGCCGCAGCCUCUCCUGCGCAGUAGUUUGCACACUCGCAUCGGGAGCGCGGCGCGUCCACAGCCGUUAAACACCCAACUUCUGAAAUGUUGACCUCGGAUCAGGUAGGAAUACCCGCUGAACUUAAGCAUAUC
rnacentral:rRNA from 1 species